rnacentral:rRNA from 1 species
UACGAAGGUCCCAAGCGUUGUUCGGAUUUACUGGGCGUAAAGAGUCUGUAGGCGGCGCGGUAAGUCGGGUGUGAAAUCUCGGGGCUUAACUCCGAAACUGCAUUCGAUACUGCCGUGCUUGAGGACUGGAGAGGAGACUGGAAUUUACGGUGUAGCGGUGAAAUGCGUAGAUAUCGUAAGGAAGACCAGUGGCGAAGGCGGGUCUCUGGACAGUUCCUGACGCUGAGGCACGAAGGUCAGGGGAGCAAACGGG